rnacentral:rRNA from 1 species
UAGGGAAUCUUCGGCAAUGGGGGGAACCCUGACCGAGCAACGCCGCGUGAGUGAAGAAGGUUUUCGGAUCGUAAAGCUCUGUUGUUAAGGAAGAACGAGUGUGAGAAUGGAAAGUUCAUACUGUGACGGUACUUAACCAGAAAGGGACGGCUAACUACGUGCCAGCAGCCGCGGUAAUACGUAGGUUCCGAGCGUUGUCCGGAUUUAUUGGGCGUAAAGCGAGCGCAGGCGGUUAGAUAAGUCUGAAGUUAAAGGCAGUGGCUCAACCAUUGUAGGCUUUGGAAACUGUUUAACUUGAGUGCAGAAGGGGAGAGUGGAAUUCCAUGUGUAACGAUGAAAUGCGUAGAUAUAUGGAGGAACACCGGUGGCGAAAGCGGCUCUCUGGUCUGUAACUGACGCUGAGGCUCGAAAGCGUGGGUAGCAAACAGG